GGGAGGGCGCGGGGAGGGAGGCUGCCGGCCGGCCCGGCCUCUCCUUUGUACUUUUCGGAGCACAUGCAGGUUGGUUCCCCAAGCAGUGGAGUUACUGUGCUGAGCCAACGCUUCUGCCUCUUCUUCGAACAGGUCCAAAGAUGGUUGUUGGGAAAACAGGAUGGUUGCCAAGAUGUCAGUCUGUGAUGGGUGCCAUAUUGCGUUAUUCUUUGAGCAGUGGAAUACAGCUUGGGAUUCUUCAGGGGUGGUUAACGUGGUACAAACCUACCGUGCAGCUGCUGGACUUCAUAACCAUUUGGAUUCAUAUAUAACUUUGUGUGCUCGUGGAAGAGCCUCUUGCCCGAACUUGAGGAUAUAAUGGGAGAUGCUGCUGAGACCCAUUUGGAUUAUGUGACUACCUGACAUCGAUGUCCCACAGCUGAUGAAAGGAGCUGGCCAGAUCUUUUUGAUCUAUGGUUGCUGAAGCACUGUCCUGGAACAACACUGACAACUGAUGAACACAGCUCCAGGCUUGAGCCACAGAGCACCACGAGGAUUUACACUCCUGAAGUAGGAGUGUGAAGAGAAUUGAAAGAUUUACAUGGAGGAUGCUGAAGUCUCUUCCUUCCUCUGUCACACGACGUGCACAGGCUGCACCAUUCAGGGCAGAGCUUGGGAUGACCUCCUGAGCCUUCCUCUUGAGUACACAGGGGCAGGCAAUACCAUAAAAAAGAGAGAGGUGGAUCUGGACAGGACUCUGUCAGCUUCCCAGGGCCAGAAAGGAGAUGUUGUCAUGCAGCCUACAACCCAGCAGCCCGAGAGAAACGGUGGAAGAAGGACAACGACGUGAUUGCAUCGAAGAUGUCAGAGGGGAAGUCUGAGGCUUUGCCUGAAGCAGAAAGCUCAAGUGUAUGCUGGAGAGGAAGGGAAGAUGCACGGUGAAGUGAAGCCAGCUGCAGCAAGGGGAUGUCAGGUGGACGAGACUUUACCAUCUGUCAAGGCAAACACUGCUGUACAGCCCUUGUUCUCAGUGAUACUCUCAGUGUCCUGCUCAUGGGGUACCUUGGAAGGACUGUACAGAGGAAGCUUCAU